GCGCGGUUGGAUGAGCCGAUGCCGGAUUAGCUAGUUGGCGGGGUAAAGGCCCACCAAGGCGACGAUCCGUAGCUGGUCUGAGAGGAUGAUCAGCCACACCGGGACUGAGACACGGCCCGG
rnacentral:rRNA from 1 species